UCUACACUGGAUUUUAAUUUAAUUGGGAAGAACAAUGAACACAUAUGUCCCUACCCUGGUCAUGUUUCUGUGCCUGCAGCUGGACGGGAUGAGCCGAGGUGAACAGGUGGAGCAGCGUCCUUCAAUCUUGAGUGUCCAGGAGGGAGCCCGUGCUGUUAUCAACUGCACUUACACAGACAGUACCUCAAGCUACUUCCCUUGGUACAAGCAAGAACCUGGGAAGGGUCCUAAGCUCCUCAUGGACAUUCGUUCAAAUAUGGAAAGAAAGCAGAACCAAAGACUUGUAGUUUUAAUGAAUAAGAAAGCAAAAAACUUUUCCCUGCACAUCACAGACACUCAGCCUGGAGACUCAGCCGUGUACUUCUGUGCAGCAAGUGCACACUGCUCCACGAGCACCUGCAGGCUGUCCUCAAACCUGCUAAGGGGCCAGGAGCUCCAUCUACAUCCUGUGUCACAGGCCUUGCAGUGA